GACGAACGCUGGCGGCGUGCUUAACACAUGCAAGUCGAACGGUAAGGCCCUUCGGGGUACACGAGUGGCGAACGGGUGAGUAACACGUGGGUGAUCUGCCCUGCACUUCGGGAUAAGCCUGGGAAACUGGGUCUAAUACCGGAUAGGACCCUGGGAUGCAUGUCCUGGGGUGGAAAGCUUUUGCGGUGUGGGAUGGGCCCGCGGCCUAUCAGCUUGUUGGUGGGGUGAUGGCCUACCAAGGCGACGACGGGUAGCCGGGCUGAGAGGGCGACCGGCGACACGGGGAAUGAGAUACGGACCAGACUCCUACGGGAGGCAGCAGUGGGGAAUAUUGCACAAUGGGCGAAAGCCUGAUGCAGCGACGCCGCGUGAGGGAUGACGGCCUUCGGGUUGUAAACCUCUUUCAGCCCCGACGAAGAGCAAGUGACGGUAGGUGCAGAAGAAGGACCGGCCAACUACGUGCCAGCAGCCGCCGUAAUAC
rnacentral:rRNA from 1 species